GGUUAAGCGACUAAGCGUACACGGUGGAUGCCCUGGCAGUCAGAGGCGAUGAAGGACGUGCUAAUCUGCGAAAAGCGUCGGUAAGGUGAUAUGAACCGUUAUAACCGGCGAUGUCCGAAUGGGGAAACCCAGUGUGAUUCGUCACACUAUCGUUAACUGAAUACAUAGGUUAACGAGGCGAACCGGGGGAACUGAAACAUCUAAGUACCCCGAGGAAAAGAAAUCAACCGAGAUUCCCCCAGUAGCGGCGAGCGAACGGGGAGCAGCCCAGAGUCUGAAUCAGCUUGUGUGUUAGUGGAACGGUCUGGAAAGUCCGACGGUACAGGGUGAUAGUCCCGUACACCAAAAUGCACAGGCUGUGAACUCGAAGAGUAGGGCGGGACACGUGGUAUCCUGUCUGAAUAUGGGGGGACCAUCCUCCAAGGCUAAAUACUCCUGACUGACCGAUAGUGAACCAGUACCGUGAGGGAAAGGCGAAAAGAACCCCGGCGAGGGGAGUGAAAAAGAACCUGAAACCGUGUACGUACAAGCAGUGGGAGCACCUUCGGGUGUGACUGCGUACCUUUUGUAUAAUGGGUCAGCGACUUAUAUUCUGUAGCAAGGUUAACCGUAUAGGGGAGCCGCAGGGAAACCGAGUCUUAACUGGGCGUUAAGUUGCAGGGUAUAGACCCGAAACCCGGUGAUCUAGCCAUGGGCAGGUUGAAGGUUGGGUAACACUAACUGGAGGACCGAACCGACUAAUGUUGAAAAAUUAGCGGAUGACUUGUGGCUGGGGGUGAAAGGCCAAUCAAACCGGGAGAUAGCUGGUUCUCCCCGAAAGCUAUUUAGGUAGCGCCUCGUGAAUUCAUCUUCGGGGGUAGAGCACUGUUUCGGCUAGGGGGUCAUCCCGACUUACCAACCCGAUGCAAACUACGAAUACCGAAGAAUGUUAUCACGGGAGACACACGGCGGGUGCUAACGUCCGUCGUGAAGAGGGAAACAACCCAGACCGCCAGCUAAGGUCCCAAAGUCAUGGUUAAGUGGGAAACGAUGUGGGAAGGCACAGACAGCCAGGAUGUUGGCUUAGAAGCAGCCAUCAUUUAAAGAAAGCGUAAUAGCUCACUGGUCGAGUCGGCCUGCGCGGAAGAUGUAACGGGGCUAAACCAUGCACCGAAGCUGCGGCAGCGACACUAUGUGUUGUUGGGUAGGGGAGCGUUCUGUAAGCCUGCGAAGGUGUGCUGUGAGGCAUGCUGGAGGUAUCAGAAGUGCGAAUGCUGACAUAAGUAACGAUAAAGCGGGUGAAAAGCCCGCUCGCCGGAAGACCAAGGGUUCCUGUCCAACGUUAAUCGGGGCAGGGUGAGUCGACCCCUAAGGCGAGGCCGAAAGGCGUAGUCGAUGGGAAACAGGUUAAUAUUCCUGUACUUGGUGUUACUGCGAAGGGGGGACGGAGAAGGCUAUGUUAGCCGGGCGACGGUUGUCCCGGUUUAAGCAUGUAGGCUGGUUGUCCAGGCAAAUCCGGAUAAUCAAGGCUGAGGUGUGAUGACGAGGCACUACGGUGCUGAAGUAACAAAUGCCCUGCUUCCAGGAAAAGCCUCUAAGCAUCAGGUAACAUCAAAUCGUACCCCAAACCGACACAGGUGGUCAGGUAGAGAAUACCAAGGCGCUUGAGAGAACUCGGGUGAAGGAACUAGGCAAAAUGGUGCCGUAACUUCGGGAGAAGGCACGCUGGUGUGUAGGUGAAGCCCCUGCGGGUGGAGCUGAGACCAGUCGAAGAUACCAGCUGGCUGCAACUGUUUAUUAAAAACACAGCACUGUGCAAACACGAAAGUGGACGUAUACGGUGUGACGCCUGCCCGGUGCCGGAAGGUUAAUUGAUGGGGUUAUCCGUAAGGAGAAGCUCUUGAUCGAAGCCCCGGUAAACGGCGGCCGUAACUAUAACGGUCCUAAGGUAGCGAAAUUCCUUGUCGGGUAAGUUCCGACCUGCACGAAUGGCGUAAUGAUGGCCAGGCUGUCUCCACCCGAGACUCAGUGAAAUUGAACUCGCUGUGAAGAUGCAGUGUACCCGCGGCAAGACGGAAAGACCCCGUGAACCUUUACUAUAGCUUGACACUGAACAUUGAGCCUUGAUGUGUAGGAUAGGUGGGAGGCUUUGAAGCGUGGACGCCAGUCUGCGUGGAGCCAACCUUGAAAUACCACCCUUUAAUGUUUGAUGUUCUAACGUUGGCCCCUUACCGGGGUUGCGGACAGUGUCUGGUGGGUAGUUUGACUGGGGCGGUCUCCUCCCAAAGCGUAACGGAGGAGCACGAAGGUUAGCUAAUCCUGGUCGGACAUCAGGAGGUUAGUGCAAUGGCAUAAGCUAGCUUGACUGCGAGCGUGACGGCGCGAGCAGGUGCGAAAGCAGGUCAUAGUGAUCCGGUGGUUCUGAAUGGAAGGGCCAUCGCUCAACGGAUAAAAGGUACUCCGGGGAUAACAGGCUGAUACCGCCCAAGAGUUCAUAUCGACGGCGGUGUUUGGCACCUCGAUGUCGGCUCAUCACAUCCUGGGGCUGAAGUAGGUCCCAAGGGUAUGGCUGUUCGCCAUUUAAAGUGGUACGCGAGCUGGGUUUAGAACGUCGUGAGACAGUUCGGUCCCUAUCUGCCGUGGGCGCUGGAGAAUUGAGGGGGGCUGCUCCUAGUACGAGAGGACCGGAGUGGACGCAUCACUGGUGUUCGGGUUGUCAUGCCAAUGGCACUGCCCGGUAGCUAAAUGCGGAAGAGAUAAGUGCUGAAAGCAUCUAAGCACGAAACUUGCCCCGAGAUGAGUUCUCCCUGAGACUUUAAGUCUCCUGAAGGAACGUU
rnacentral:rRNA from 1 species